GCUGUCCUGUCUGACGCUGAGAGCGGCGUCCAGCUGAGCGGCUCCGAGCGCACUGCGGAUGCAUCCGAGGGCAGCCUGGGGGGCUCUCGGGCCAGCGGACCCCGUCCCCACCGCGGCGCUCCUCGCCCGGCCGAGGCCGUUCACCUCGCCGAGGCCCCUCCCCGGCCUGCUCAGACUCCUCCACGCUCGCCCUGAUCCACUCCGCCCUGCACAAGCGCCAGCUGCAGGUCCAGGGAGAAGAGCAACCUGGCCCACAGCCUGCAGGUGGCCCAGCAGCAGGCUGAGGAGCUGCGGCAGGAGCGGGAGAAGCUGCAGGCUGCCCAGGAGGAGCUGCGGCGCCAGCGGGACCGGCUGGAGGAAGAGCAGGAGGACGCAGUGCAGGAUGGCGCGCGGGUGCGCCGGGAGCUUGAGCGCAGCCAUAGACAACUAGAGCAGCUGGAAGGGAAGCGCUCAGUCCUGGCCAAGGAGCUGGUGGAGGUGAGGGAGGCGCUGAGCCACGCCACGCUGCAACGGGACAUGCUACAGGCUGAGAAGGCCGAGGUGUCCGAGGCGCUGACCAAGGCUGAGGCUGGCCGCGUGGAGCUCGAGCUCUCCAUGACCAAGCUGAGGGCAGAGGAGGCCUCCCUGCAGGACUCCCUGUCCAAGCUGAGCGCCCUCAACGAGAGCCUUGCUCAGGACAAGUUGGAUCUGAACCGCCUUGUCGCCCAGCUGGAGGCAGAAAAGGCUGCCCUGCAGGGCCGGCAGCGGCAGGCGGAGCAGGAGGCCACAGUGGCGCGGGAGGAGCAGGAGCGGCUGGAGGAGCUGCGGUUGGAGCAGGAGGUGGCGCGGCAGGGCCUGGAGGGCUCCCUACGAGUGGCGGAGCAGGCCCAGGAGGCGCUGGAGCAGCAGCUCCCCACGCUGCGCCAUGAGCGUAGCCGGCUGCAGGAGCAGCUAGCGCAGGAGGCAGCAUGGCGGGAGCUGGAGGCCGAGCGGGCCCAGCUGCAGAGUCAGCUGCAGCGUGAGCAGGAGGAGCUGCUGGCCCGGCUGGAGGCUGAGAAGGAAGAGCUGAGUGAGGAGAUUGCUGCCCUGCAGCAGGAGCGUGAUGAGGGCCUCCUCCUGGCUGAAAGCGAGAAGCAGCAGGUUGGUGAGCCCUGGUGUGGCCUCUGCUGCUCUCUGAGCUGCUCCUGUUCUGGGGCCGGGCCCCGCUCUGCCACCUGGCAGCUAGGAGCCCUUGGGCAGGCCACUACCCUCUUGGGGGCCUCAGUUUCCUCACCUGCAGGAUGGGAGGAAUAGAAGGGGGUUCGUGAGGCUUUGCUGUGCUCCAUGCCUGGCACACAGUGAGCACCUGCUCAGUGACAGUGACAGUCAUGACACCAGGAAAACUGUUCUGUAUUCUCCCAUGCCUUGUCCCACCCCAGGCCUGGCAUGGAUCCUCAUGGCUGCCUUCUGAGCAGUCCCCACGAUGCCCACAGGCAUCAGCUGACCCAUCCCUCCAAAUAACAGAUCCCUAACUUUUAUAUAAUGUAACGGAGACAGGGCAGACUGCACCCAUCUCCUCUCCUCACCCGCUGUGUACCUGGGCAAGUCGCUUUACCUCCUUGAGGCUCAGUUUCUUCAUCUGUAAAAUGGGUAGAAUGAAAGACUCUGCUGUCAGGGUGCUGUGGCAGGUUAGUGAGCUCUAUGAGUGGUAUCCACAUCCGGGAUUCUUGUGACUGCCAUUGUGUCCUUUUCCAGGGCUGCACGUCUGCCCUGGGUGCACCUGCGGUGGCACACUCAGGCCUCUAAGCCCCAGUGGGCACAUUUCCCAGGCAGCAAGAAGCCUGAGCAUGCCCCAGGACCAGCCCAUCCCCCAAGCCCUUUGUCCCCUGCCUCUGCCCAGGCCUUGUCUCUGAAGGAGUCUGAGAAGACGGCGCUGUCAGAGAAGUUGAUGGGUACACGGCACAGCCUGGCCACCAUCUCCCUGGAGAUGGAGCGGCAGAAACGAGAUGCCCAGAGCCGGCAGGAGCAGGACCGG
rnacentral:sRNA from 1 species